rnacentral:lncRNA from 1 species
GUAUCAAAGAAAAAAGGACUGAGUGCAGAAGAAAAGAGAGCCUGCAUGAUGGAAACAUUUUUUAAAACAAAAGAUGUAUUUCAAUUAAAAGAAAGACAUGGAGAGGACUGCUCCCAAAGAGAAAGGCAUUACUGCUGUGUUAGUAAAAGAAAAAAGUCCUUCAAAGUUUAGUUGAUAAUGAUAUGGUUGACUGUGAGAGAACUGGAACUUCUAAUUAUUAUCAGUCUUUUCCAAGUAAAAUUCUUCAUGCAAGAACGUAUAAAUUGGAGGUUCUGAAAUCUCAGUUGUUUCAGGGAAGCCAAAAGCAUGCAAACUUACAGAAAAGCAUCAGAAAAACUAAAAUUGGCCAACAUGAGAUGAAGGAGUGAACCGUGUUAGCCAAAGAGCAUUCUUCACUCUUGGAUCAAAGGCAGAAGUUGAAAAAUGCAAAUAAUGUGACCCGCAAGUUGUUGAAGAAAUACAUCAGGCAAAUAAAGUACUUGCUAACAGAUAGACUGAUAACAUAUUUGCAAUAAAAUCUUGGGCCAAAAGAAAAUUUGGGUUUGAAGAAAAUAAAAUUGAUAAAACUUUCGGAAUUCCAGAAGACUCUGACUACAUAGAUUAA